GAGGCUAACAAAGGACGUCAGAAC
rnacentral:piRNA from 1 species